GAUGAACGCUGGCGGCGUGCCUAAUACAUGCAAGUCGAGCGAACAGACGAGGAGCUUGCUCCUUUGACGUUAGCGGCGGACGGGUGAGUAACACGUAGGUAACCUACCUAUAAGACUGGGAUAACUUCGGGAAACCGGAGCUAAUACCGGAUAAUAUUUCGAACCGCAUGGUUCGAUAGUGAAAGAUGGCUUUGCUAUCACUUAUAGAUGGACCUGCGCCGUAUUAGCUAGUUGGUAAGGUAACGGCUUACCAAGGCAACGAUACGUAGCCGACCUGAGAGGGUGAUCGGCCACCCUGGAACUGAGACACGGUCCAGACUCCUACGGGAGGCAGCAGUAGGGAAUCUUCCGCAAUGGGCGAAAGCCUGACGGAGCAACGCCGCGUGAGUGAUGAAGGUCUUCGGAUCGUAAAACUCUGUUAUUAGGGAAGAACAAACGUGUAAGUAACUGUGCACGUCUUGACGGUACCUAAUCAGAAAGCCACGGCUAACUACGUG
rnacentral:rRNA from 1 species